CAGCCUGCAUUUCUACCAACAAGUAAUUGUAAAGCAAUCCAACUGGACCAGCUACAAGUUGCAGUUGAACUCUCCUCCGUGUGUUUUGCUGACUGAAUCUUACACUACACCCAAUUCAGUCAUCAGUGAUUCAUUCAAUCCAUUGCUUGUGCAAGAUAUCGCAAUUGUCGGACCAUGAACGGUUGGUGGGAGGGAAAACACACUUGAAAUUGUCGUGUUAUAAACAGAAGAAGGACGAUGCCUAAUCGCCAAGCUAACCUCGCCAGCGGAAGGACGUCAAGGAAGGACGGCACGGACAGACCGACAGUCACUCCUACUGAAGUUCCGAAUCUUGUUCCAGCAGAGCUGUUGCUGCUCUAAAAACUGCCAUUUCAGAAGUUGGGGAUAGACAUUGGAUUAGGAUGUUAACUGACAAGGAUGCAAAAUUUCUGCGGGUCCAUCAUCUACUCAGACUUACUUAAGUGUUUUGUGAAAAUCUUGUCAAUUCCGUGUACACAAUACAUUGUCUAGCUCUCUCUGGUCCUAUGUAGGUAAAAACUGAUCAUUUAUUUUUUUUGAUAAAUAUCAGUGAUCUUAGCCUAUUCGCUUCGCUGAAAAGUUAUGACUAAAAGUACUGUUUGCUAAUUUGUUGUGAAAGAAUAACUUGCAGAUUUAGCAGAUAAGUUCAAGUGAACAGGCUCUUUCCUCUUUGAAGUACAACCGUAGAGUAGUUUGUUUUACUUUCAGCAACGAAACGAAGGAAGUGACGGGUGAUCGUGCACAAAUGGAUGUGAAGCAAUCAAAACUCAGAUAUGUACCUGCUCAGCCGCUGCGUCGUCGUGGCAACAUAUGGGGCGUCCGCUCUGCGAUGAGAGCGCCAGGGAGAGAGCAACUACAACGCUGACUCAGACUCGUCAGCGGCAAGGAGGAGCCUGCUGCGCGGGGGCAUGAAGCUUGAUCUAGGCUGGGCGGACGACCUCUCUCGCUGGCUGCUUCACAUGCGCCACAGGUUCUGCCGUUUCGCUGCUUGUCGUCAUGGCUCCCGCCCACCACUAUGACAGUGGCGUAUGCACUCCCAUGAGUCGCGUAUGGCAGGGAGGCGAGCGUGAGUCUUGUAUGGCAGGAAGACGAGCCUGAGUCGCGUGAUUAGCGGUAGCAGCAAUUUGCGACGGGCAUGGGUGUGAGUCACGUGAUUAGCAGCGGCUUAGCAUAGGGGCGGGGUGCCUGCAUCAGAUCAUUGUCCAAUCUCCAAUUUGUUAACUAUACACAUUUAAUUUCCCAUGACUGUUUAGUGAUCUUGAUUCUACAUGUAAGAAUUUCAUUUUCAAUUAAAUUGUAAAAUUUAAAAGAAGAUUACGUAUGCAUUAAAAACGCCAAAUAAUUUCAUCACCCACCGGUGCUUCUGGAUGUUCUGCUGUUGCCGCCGUGGUUCCGGGAAGCUAUCUCCAUGUGCCAUCCUCUUCUGUGUCUCAUGACAUGGCAAUACAAGGACACGACGGUCCGGAAGUGAAGUCUUCGGUCUUCACUUUUCAGCAGCAGCAGGCAUCGGAGCAAUGAUAGAAAUUUUCUCCAUAGCUUCAACUUCAACUCAAUGUUCAUUCAUUUGCUUGGCGUAAUUGAUGUCAUCUCCUUAGCUUCAACAUCUCAUCCUGGAGGCUAACUCCACCGACUAGCCAUAGGCAAAUCUCCAACCCGUGUUUUCAUCUUCUAAAACAACAUGAUGCUUGUCUUUUCUGUAGGAUAAUACAUCCUGAAGGACGAGCAUAAAGAUUUGCAUGAUGAACAAAACUGCCUCAUGCCUCCCAAUCCAAACACAGCAAUGCAAGACACUAGGGCUUCGCAUUGCUCCUUUCGCAACUCGAAGCCUUUUUUAUUUCCUAUUUGUAGACCAAAUGAGAUGAUGUGUUGCACUGCACAUAUAAGAAACCAGACUUUAGAUGUGUACUAGCUAUC
rnacentral:lncRNA from 1 species